rnacentral:rRNA from 1 species
GUGGGGAAUCUUCCGCAAUGGACGAAAGUCUGACGGAGCAACGCCGCGUGAGUGAAGAAGGUUUUCGGAUCGUAAAGCUCUUUCGUUAGGGACGAACGUGCUCUUUGUGAAUAAUGAGGAGUAAUGACGGUACCUAAAUAAGAAGCCACGGCUAACUACGUGCCAGCAGCCGCGGUAAUACGUAGGUGGCAAGCGUUGUCCGGAAUUUUUGGGCGUAAAGCGCGCGCAGGCGGGAUAUCAAGUCUGUCUUAAAAGUGCGAGGCUCAACCUCGUGAGGGGACAGAAACUGGUAUUCUUGAGUGUCGGAGAGGAAAGUGGAAUUCCAAGUGUAGCGGUGAAAUGCGUAGAGAUUUGGAAGAACACCAGUGGCGAAGGCGACUUUCUGGACGAUGUCUGACGCUGAGGCGCGAAAGCUAGGGGAGCGAACGGGAUUAGAUACCCCAGUAGUCC